AGGCAUGGAGCUGCAGGUUCUGAGCAAGGGGUCUUUAGUACAGACCCACCUGGACAUCUCUGAAAAGGAAACACUGCUGUGAGAAACUUGCCACAGUGCAAACCGUCAGAAUGCUCAGAAUGCGGAAACGUGCUGAAACGGCCACAGCCCACCUUCAGCAGCCACCACCCUGAGCCGCCAGUGACCUGGAGGCAAGACCCUCCACCGGCAGAAAGACCACCACUAGCUGAAGGCUCAGACGAUUGCAUUUUGAGCAGUGAGGUACUUUUAAAUGAAGUCUGUUGAGAGCGUAGGUCCGGUCACCCUCCAUCAGUCUACGCCUCCCAUCUCCACAUGUGAAAAGUGGUCAUUGAUCAGCCAGUUUGAGGCUAAAGAGCCGGCCUUGCACCCCCAGAUCCGUCCUCCAUCCUGACUGCACCCCAUUCACCAGCACCCUCCAGUAAGAGCUGACCGACCGGUCGUCCUGCACACAUUUGCUUGGUUUUCAUCUGGUUUUUACACGGCAUCCCUCCUCCUCGGUCUUCCCACUUCCAGAGGUGCGGUCUGGGCAUUCGUGACUUUCAGAAGCUCCCCAGCUGAUUCUGAUGUGCUGCUCGGGCAGGAGAAGGCAUACAAGCCUAAGCCAAGUGUAGCCGCUCGGGGCCGCAGGGUUAAGAAGUACAUGAGAAUGAAUGUACAUGUAGCACUGGGCCGGUAUACAGUAGGUGCUCAUUAAUGAUCAGAGUAGUAAGCACAUCAGAAACGAGUUGAAGUCAGUGUGUCCUGACUUAUCACUCCAGUGGCCCCUUUUCUUGUUGGCAUCCCAGCACACCCUCAGUACCUUAUUCGAGAAUUUUGUCUGGGUGCGGGUGAGCUCUCCUUUUGGGGGCAGCUACAGACUUGGGUCUUCGUGAAGGUGUGUGUUGUAGAUGUGUGAUGAGGACGGAUUUAUGUUUUAUCCGUUUAUAUUAAACAAUGUUUAACACCAUUUUUAAAUAAGUAGCUAUUUACUUUCCUUUUCAACCUAUUCAG